AUUCGAUGCAAACCGAAGAACCUUACCUGGGUUUGACAUGCAGGUGGUACGAGCCCGAAAGGGCAAGGACCGCACCUUCGGGUGCGGAGCCUGCACAGGUGCUGCAUGGCUGUCGUCAGCUCGUGUCGUGAGAUGUUGGGUUAAGUCCCGCAACGAGCGCGACCCCUGCUUCCAGUUGCCAUCAGGUCGAGCUGGGCACUCUGGAGGGACUGCCGGCGACAAGUCGGAGGAAGGCGGGGAUGACGUCAAGUCAUCAUGGCCCUUAUGUCCAGGGCGACACACGCGCUACAAUGGCCGGCACAGAGGGAGGCAAGCCCGCGAGGGUGAGCAGAUCCUGUUAAAGCCGGUCUCAGUUCGGAUCGCAGUCUGCAACCCGACUGCGUGAAGCCGGAAUCGCUAGUAAUCGCGGAUCAGCCAUGCCGCGGUGAAUACGUUCCCGGGCCUUGUACACACCGCCCGUCACACCACCCGAGUUGGGUGUUCCCGAAGCCGCUCUUCCCAACCCGCGCAUGCGGGAGGGAGGCGUCGAAGGAAUG
rnacentral:rRNA from 1 species